rnacentral:rRNA from 1 species
GGUGCGGAAUAGCCCAGGGAAACUUGGAGUAAUACCGUAUACGCCCGAAAGGGGAAAGAAUUUCGCUAUAGGAUGGGCCCGCGUAGGAUUAGCUAGUUGGUGAGGUAAUGGCUCACCAAGGCGACGAUCCUUAGCUGGUUUGAGAGAACGACCAGCCACACUGGGACUGAGACACGGCCCAGACUCCUACGGGAGGCAGCAGUGGGGAAUAUUGGACAAUGGGCGCAAGCCUGAUCCAGCCAUGCCGCGUGAGUGAUGAAGGCCUUAGGGUUGUAAAGCUCUUUUGGCGGGGACGAUAAUGACGGUACCCGCAGAAUAAGUCCCGGCUAACUUCGUGCCAGCAGCCGCGGUAAUACGAAGGGGACUAGCGUUGUUCGGAAUCACUGGGCGUAAAGCGCACGUAGGCGGAUAUGUCAGUCAGGGGUGAAAUCCCGGGGCUCAACCUCGGAACUGCCUUUG